UUAUCUCUCCCUUCAGCUGGCAGGUGGGGUCAGGAGCUCCAAGAGGCUGUGCAAGUACAGGAGGGAGCUCAGAGGUUGUUCGGCCUCAGGGCAGGUCAACAGCUAGAGAAGAAGGGAGCUGGCGGGGCGAGCGGCUGCCUCUUUGACCUCAUUGUCCUGCCUCUUGAAGGAUCGUCAAAACAGUGUUGGAAAGCACCAGUGAACCAUCUUGUGCCAAGGUUCCCAGGCAGCUAUCUAACAGAAGAGGAUUGUUUUGGCUACCGAUGUUCCACCGAGAAUCAGCCUUGGGAAACUACUGCUCUCCCUACUUCAAAGGCGUUGUUUUGGGAACCGUGGGGGGGAGGAGGGGCCCGCUGGGAUCUGUUACUCUGUACCUUAUGCCUUGCCUAUCAUUGGUAACAAUGCAUAUGCACCAUCCUGAAUAUUGCAUUCAGGCUAGUGGACUAUAAUGAACUAUUUCUUCAAUAAAUUCCUUUUGGAAACAA